GGCUUGAAACAUCUUGCCGGCCACGGUUUCGUGUGUUAGUGCUUGAUGUUCUGGCCAUCCUUCCAAUUGCUGUGCGUUUUUCUUCAUUGAUUAGCGCAUGGUAUUGGAUCUUUUACUUUGAAAAAAUUAGAGUGUUUCAAGCAGGCGAUUGCUAUGAAUACAUUAGCAUGGAAUAAUAAUUUAGGACUUCGGUUCUAUUUUGUUGGUUUCUAGGACUGAAGUA
rnacentral:rRNA from 1 species